GAUGAAGAACGCAGCGAAAUGCGAUAAGUAAUGUGAAUUGCAGAAUUCAGUGAAUCAUCGAAUCUUUGAACGCACAUUGCGCCCGCUAGUAUUCUGGCGGGCAUGCCUGUCCGAGCGUCAUUUCAACCCUCAAGCCCCCGGGCUUGGUGUUGGGGAUCGGCGAGCCUCCGCGCCCGCCGUCCCCUAGAUCUAGUGGCGGUCUCGCUGUAGCUUCCUCUGCGUAGUAGCACACCUCGCACUGGGAAACAGCGCGGCCACGCCGUUAAACCCCCAACUUCUGAACGUUUGACCUCGGAUCAGGUAGGAAUACCCGCUGAACUUAAGCAUAUCAAUAAGCGGAGGA
rnacentral:misc_RNA from 1 species